GUUGAGACGUCGGUUCCCGUACGAUCAUAGACGUUAAGCAACGUCGAGCCUGGUCUGUACCUAGAUGGGUGAUCGCUUGGGAAUACCAUGUGCUGUG
rnacentral:rRNA from 1 species